UCAAAUAUUAAUUUUUUUUGAGAAUAUUCCCCGUCUCUCAUUCACUUUCCUCUUCUCGCUCUCAGACUUCUCCCAUCUCUCCAUCACCGUGACCUAAAAUCCGCUGGCCGUCUCAUCCCUCAAUUUUGUUCUGUCUUUACUACAACAGUACCAGGAUCUUCCGAGCCAAUCGCUCAGAUCCUCUCUCAUCCCUUCGCUCUCUAUCACUCUCCACAACCAAAAACCCUAGAGACCUAUUCAACCAACAAGCCAAAUUCAUGCCCCGCACCAACCAGACUACCUCGAUUUGUCGUCCAAUAGUUCUCCUUUUGUUCAAUUAUGAUUUUUGUGCUGGAUUCAAAGGGUAUCUGUCUCCAAUAUUGAGCUUCGAGUAGCCCUUCACUUCCGCAUCCAAGGAUUCACCUUCCCAAGUCUCUAUUUGGGUAAAAUUGUUUCAUUUAUUAUCAAUUCUUUUUAACUUAGGGUUUUGAAUUUGCAGAUAAUUGCCCCCAAAAUUGAGCAAACCAGUAGCCUUCCUCCUCCACAUCCGUCUUCCUCUCUCUGUCAUGCUCCAUAAACAACCCAAUUCCACGCCAUAAGUCCCACACCAACGAGACUGCCUUUGUGUCCACGAAUCGUUGAAGGGAUUUUGCUUAUUUGAGGUAUUUGGUUACAAUUUGAAGAAUCAAGCUACCAUGAUAUGAUUUCCUUUACUUCUAUAAUUUUUGUCUGGCUUAGGCAUGUCUCUAUUAUGUGUUCUAUUUGAAUUUUUUAGAAACAGAAAGCUUGUUUAAUUGUAUGUUUAUCUAAGAUGUGUUUCCCAUCUCUUCCCAUGGAGCUCUAGCCUUUGAUAAGGCCCAAGUAACUCUUUCACCGACUUGAGAUUAGGUCCUAUUAAUUUUUCAAGUACUGUAAUUUUGCCAUAUAUAAUAGUUGUGCUUAAUUUGCUCCUAUGAAUAAUUUGUGCCUUUGCUUUCAAUGGGGCAUGGUGGUUGUGUUUUUGUUGCUCGAUGAUGAUUUUGUUUUACCUUGGUGUCUUAGAAAACUUACAAAAAUUUACAAGGAUUUGAGCAGGGGCUGAGCCAUAAGUAAUGCUUAUAUGAAUUUGAGCUCUUAGAUUGUAUAAUAACAAUCGAAAUAACUAGGGUUGCAACUCCAACCCCACAUUCUCCUCCUCUCCCUCUGAAAUCACAUACAACCUUAUCCAUGCUUUGUUGUCCUUGCCUUGCUGUUAAUGAAGAAUUCGGGAGUUCUCUAGAUGUACAAUGGGUGGUAUGGUCAGUUGUGCAGGUGUGUUCAAGAGGUGAGACACCUUGGGGGAUAAUAUUAGGACUUAUCUUUUAGAAUCAUUAGUAGUGAUAUCAAUUUGAUCUUUAUAAAAGUUGAAUGUUUUAAAAUUACACUGAAUAAGUAGUUUGUGGUAUGAAACUAGAUAUGUAUUUCUUGUUAAUUAAUGACCUUUAAAUGUAGGAUGUUUUCAAGCAAAAUUUAUAUAAUCGUAAGAAACAAAAGUAUUACCACAAGGAGGGGCAAACCAUUUCAUCCAGCAUGCAAGGAAGGCUCACAAGGUAAUGAAAUUAAAGUACAUAUAAAACUCAUUGUGUAAUUUAGGUAGGCAUGUUAUUGAUAUGGGUUUGAGAUGGGUGGUGGGUAAUGGUAAGGAGAUUCUCUUAUGGACUCAUUGUUGGGUUUUUUCUUACCCGUUGUUCCAUCUUAUACCAGAAACACAAAAGCAGAAUAUCAAUUGUAAUUUAUGGGUAAGUGACUUUUUGAAUAAAUUAUUAAGUAUUCUGGAUGCUGAUAUUGUCAA